rnacentral:lncRNA from 1 species
CAUAACUAUCUGAAAUUUCCCGUAUUUGCAAACGAUUGACAUUUUAUAUGUUUUGAUAGAAAUGAGAGUGUGUUAAUAUGAAGGCAUCUCACAAACACGUGUUCCGUCAUGAAGAUGUGGUGUUUUGAGAGAUUCUUUAUCUUAUAUAACUAUUGACCAAAAGUGUAAAAACCAUUUGAACAAGUUACCCCCCCCCCAAAAAAAAAGAAAAAAAAACAAAACAAAACAAAACAAAACAAAACAAAACAAAACAAGAGGCAAACAAAAACACCG